ensembl:snRNA U6 U6 spliceosomal RNA
GUGUUCGCUUUGGCAGCACAUAUACUAAAACUGGAAUGAUACAGAGAAGAUUAGCAUGGCUCCUGUGCAAGGAUGACAUGCAAAUUCAUGAAGCGUUCCAGAUUUUU